UACGUAGGGGGCGAGCGUUGUCCGGAAUUAUUGGGCGUAAAGAGCUUGUAGGCGGUCUGUCGCGUCUGCUGUGAAAAUCCGGGGCUCAACCCCGGACUUGCAGUGGGUACGGGCAGACUAGAGUGCGGUAGGGGAGACUGGAAUUCCUGGUGUAGCGGUGAAAUGCGCAGAUAUCAGGAGGAACACCGGUGGCGAAGGCGGGUCUCUGGGCCGUAACUGACGCUGAGGAGCGAAAGCGUGGGGAGCGAACAGG
rnacentral:rRNA from 1 species